GCCAGUGUGGUGUAGUGGUUUGAGUGUUGGACUAUGAUUCUGGAGACCAAGGUUCAAUUCCCAGCGUGGUCA